AUAAGCUUGAUUCCUACGGGAGGCAGCAGUAGGGAAUCAUCCGCAAUGGGCGAAAGCCUGACGGUGCAACGCCGCGUGAACGAUGACGGUCUUCGGAUUGUAAAGUUCUGUUGUUAGGGAAGAGCACGUGCCAUUCGAAUAGGGUGGCACCUUGACGGUACCUGACCAGAAAGCCCCGGCUAACUACGUGCCAGCAGCCGCGGUAAUA
rnacentral:rRNA from 1 species